rnacentral:rRNA from 1 species
AUUGAACGCUGGCGGCAUGCCUAACACAUGCAAGUCGAACGGAUACGGGCCUCUUGCUGCUGAAUAGUGCCGCACAGGGGAGUAAAACGUCUAGAAGUCUCCCUGCGAGGGGGGGAAAACGUCGGAAACCGGGCGCAAAUACCACAUACGCCCUGGGGGAGAACGUGGGAGAGCUUCGCACCUCACGCUAUCAGAGGAGCCGAGGUCGGAUUAGCUAGUUGGUGGGGUAAAGGCCUACCAAGGCGACGAUCCGUAGCUGGUCUGAGAGGAUGAUCAGUCACACUGGAACUGAGACACGGCCCAGACUCCUACGGGAGGCAGCAGUGGGGAAUUUUGGACAAUGGGCGAAAGCCUGAUCCAGCCAUGCCGCGUGUAGGAUGAAGGUCUUCGGAUUGUAAAGUGCUUUAGUAUGGGAGGAAGGGCAGUAAUUUAAUACCGGGCGGUUAUGACGUUACCAUAAGAAUAAGCACCGGCUAACUACGUG